rnacentral:rRNA from 1 species
GACAGAGGGUGCAAACGUUGUCCGGAAUUAUUGGGCGUAAAGAGCUCGUAGGCGGUUCGUCGCGUCGGCUGUGAAAUCCCGAGGCUCAACCUCGGGUCUGCAGUCGAUACGGGCGGACUGGAGUUCGGCAGGGGAGACUGGAAUUCCUGGUGUAGCGGUGAAAUGCGCAGAUAUCAGGAGGAACACCGGUGGCGAAGGCGGGUCUCUGGGCCGAUACUGACGCUGAGGAGCGAAAGCGUGGGGAGCGAACAGG